rnacentral:rRNA from 1 species
CAAUAGCGUAUAUUUAAGUUGUUGCAGUUAAAAAGCUCGUAGUCGGAUUUUGGCUGAGAACGAUCGGUCCGCCGUUAGGUGUGCACUGAUUGGUCUCAGCUUCCUGGUGAGGAGGUGUGCUUCACGGCCACUUAGUCACCGUGGUUACUUUGAAAAAAUUAGAGUGUUCAAAGCGGGCUUACGCUUGAAUAUAUUAGCAUGGAAUAAUAACAUAGGAUCUUUGUCCUAUUUUGUUGGUUUCUAGGGCUGAGAUAAUGAUUAAUAGGGAUAAUUGGGGGCAUCUGUAUCAACGCGUCAGAGGUGGAAUUCUUGGAUUGCGUUGCGACAAACUACUGCGAAAGCAUUUGCCAAGGAUGUUUUCAUUGA